rnacentral:miRNA from 1 species
UACAGCAUGUGGACUCAACGC